CAUCUGACACGGAACAGAGAGGGGCCAGCCAGGUGCUUAACGAAGCCAUGUUUUCAGCCUGAGUGCACAGAAACCAGGAGGUGGUUGUCUGAUGAGCAGGAGACAGCAUGAAGCCAGUAACAACAGCAUUGACCUAUAAGGUCUGUUAGACUCCAGGGAAAUCUCGACAGCAGCAUCCCUCGAGGCAGUCUCUACAUACAACUCCUGGAUGGGUUUCUGCUCUUAGACAAAUGGAGACUGACCUCGGUAAAUGCAGAGGCUAUUUGGAUUUAUCUGUAGACCAUGCACUUUGACUUCUGAAAGAAGCUGAGUUGAAAAGAAGACUUAAAUAAAUGUUUAACUCAACU
rnacentral:lncRNA from 1 species